CUACGUGCCAGCAGCCGCGGUAAUACGGAGGGUGCGAGCGUUAAUCGGAAUAACUGGGCGUAAAGGGCACGCAGGCGGUUAUUUAAGUGAGGUGUGAAAGCCCCGGGCUUAACCUGGGAAUUGCAUUUCAGACUGGGUAACUAGAGUACUUUAGGGAGGGGUAGAAUUCCACGUGUAGCGGUGAAAUGCGUAGAGAUGUGGAGGAAUACCGAAGGCGAAGGCAGCCCCUUGGGAAUGUACUGACGCUCAUGUGCGAAAGCGUGGGGAGCAAACAGGAUUAGAUACCCUGGUAGUCCACGCUGUAAACGCUGUCGAUUUGGGGAUUGGGCUUUAAGCUUGGUGCCCGUAGCUAACGUGAUAAAUCGACCGCCUGGGGAGUACGGCCGCAAGGUUAAAACUCAAAUGAAUUGACGGGGGCCCGCACAAGCGGUGGAGCAUGUGGUUUAAUUCGAUGCAACGCGAAGAACCUUACCUACUCUUGAC
rnacentral:rRNA from 1 species